rnacentral:rRNA from 1 species
CCUACGGGUGGCAGCAGUGGGGAAUAUUGGACAAUGGGCGAAAGCCUGAUCCAGCCAUGCCGCGUGUGUGAAGAAGGCCUUCGGGUUGUAAAGCACUUUCAGUGGGGAAGAAAGCCUUGGGGCUAAUACCCUCGAGGAAGGACAUCACCCACAGAAGAAGCACCGGCUAACUCCGUGCCAGCAGCCGCGGUAAUACGGAGGGUGCGAGCGUUAAUCGGAAUUACUGGGCGUAAAGCGCGCGUAGGCGGUCUGAUAAGCCGGUUUGUGAAAGCCCCGGGCUCAACCUGGGAACGGCAUCCGGAACUGUCAGGCUAGAGUGCAGGAGAGGAAGGUAGAAUUCCCGGUGUAGCGGUGAAAUGCGUAGAGAUCGGGAGGAAUACCAGUGGCGAAGGCGGCCUUCUGGACUGACACUGACGCUGAGGUGCGAAAGCGUGGGUAGCAAACAGGAUUAGAUACCCUUGUAGUC